rnacentral:lncRNA from 1 species
GCCCAAAAAGGGCUGAAACUGCCCGGGGGGGAGCAGGCCGUGGAGGGGAUGGGGCUGUUGCUGCUCUGGAGGGUUUCCGACGUCCGCAGCUUGGAGAACAUGGCCAGGGCGUCCGGGAAGUUGGGCGGAGUGGCCGGCGUGUUGCUCGGGGUGCACAUCUGUGGGGAGAGGAGACGGGGGGGGGGGGUCAGGAGGGUCCCCCUGGGGGCGUUUAGGGUCGCCAACGGGGUGUUUAGGGUUCCCAUGGGACAUUUAGCAUCCCCAACGGGAUAUUCAGGGUCCCCAUGGGAGCGUUCAGGGUCCCCAAUGGGACAUCCAGGGUCCCCAUGGGGGCAUUUAGGGUCCCCAAUGGAAUGUUUAGGGUUCCCAUGGGAUGUUUGGUGUCCCUAUGGGACAUUUAGCGUCCCCAACUGGGUAUUCAGGGUCCCCAGUGGGACAUCCAGGGUCCCCAUGGGGUGUUUAAGGUCCUCAACAGAGCAUUUAGGGUCCCCAUGGGAUGUUUGCUGUCCCCAUGGGACGUUUAGCAUCCCCAACGAGAUAUUCAGGGUCCCCAAUGGGGUGUUUACGGUCCCCAUGGGACACUCAGCAUCCCCAUGGCGCAUUUGGGGUCCCCCAUGGGGCAUUUAGCAUUCCUCUUGGGGCAUUUAGGAUCUCCCAUGGGACAUUUAGCAUCCACACGGGGUGUUUGGGGUCCCCAUGGGAUGUUUAGGGUCCCCAAUGGGACAUUUGGGGUCCCCAACAGGGCGUUUAGAGUCCCCAGUUGGGAUGUUUGGGGUCCCCCAUGGGACAUUUAACAUCCCCACAGGGCGUUUGAGGUCCCCAUAGGAUGUUUAGGGUCCCCUCGGGACAUUUAGUAUCCCUGUUGGGGCAUUUAGGGUCUCCCAUGGGACAUUUAGCAUNGGGCGUUUGAGGUCCCCAUAGGAUGUUUAGGGUCCCCUCGGGACAUUUAGUAUCCCUGUUGGGGCAUUUAGGGUCUCCCAUGGGACAUUUAGCAUCCCCACAGGGCAUUUGGGGUCCCCAUAGGAUGUUUAGGGUCCCCAACAGGUCAUCCAGGGUCCCCAUGGGAUGUUUAGGGUCUCCAAUAGGACAUCCAGGGUCCCCAGGGGAUAUUUAGGGUCCCCAUGGGGUGUUUCAGGUCCUGGCUGUGGGGUCCCACCACUGGCCCCCAAACUGCUUAUUGUCCCUCUGCCUGCCCUGGACCUGCUGUGGGGUCAAAAACCCCACAGGUGGCUCCGUGGAGAGCAGCUCCUCGUCCUGUGGGUCCCCAAAGUGCUCAACUUCAACCCUUUUUGGGGUCACCAAAACGCCAGCAGGGCCAGCCGGCCGUGUGUGGGGUUUGGGUUUUUUUUUUUUUGUUGUUCUUUUCCAGCCCCAGCCCGCGCCCCUGACCCCAAGCAGCUCCCUCUGUGCGGGCAGAGCUCACCUCGGGGCUUUGCUAAGCCAGUUUUUUUUCCCCUAUUUAAAAAAAAACCCUAGAUUUGACCCGAAAAGAUGCUCGAUCCAAAACAUCGCUCUGCUAACCCCAAGAAGCUCCUUUUUUAUAAAAAAUACCCCAAACACAGCUGCGUGCAAACAGCGGCUCCGGCCCGAGUUUGGGGUGCCCACAAUGGCCAGGAGGGAUUUGGGAUGGGAUUUGGGAUGGGAUUCUGGGGUGCCCAAAAUGCGAUGGGGAGGGAUGGCCCGCUGAGUGUGGGGCUGCUUUUUUUUAAUUAUUAUUAUUUUUUUUGAGCAUUUUGAGGCCUGAAGCAGCCCCGCAGCUCAUGGCCUGUCUCCCUUCUCCCCCCCCAGCUGAUUUUUGGGGCUUUUGGGGGCUUUUUGGGGCAUCUCGCCAGCUCUCCAAAGCGCCAGGCUUGAGCGCAGGGGGGGAAACCUCUCCUGCACCCCACAGGCAGUGUGUGUGUGGGGGGGAAGCCCCCCCAUGAGCCCAGGAGGGAGACAAAACCCAAAUCCCCCCCUGAGAGGGGCCACCGGGACUGGGCUCUGCUUUUGGGGGAGUUUGGGGGGAAUUUUGGGGGAGUUUUUGGGGUUUUGGGGACCCCCCCAGGGCCUGAAGGCGGGAGGAAAAUCGUACGGGGAGGGGAAUAAAAGGGUUGGGAAGGGGGGGGGCAGGCACCAGCUGGGCUACGUCGCUUUCCCUAUUUGCCCCCGCCCCGACAGCGCCAGAAAAGGGAAAAAAAAAUUUAAAAUCGGUAAAAAAAAUAAAGAAAGAAAAUAAAAAAAUAAAAAAAAAAGGAACGGGCUGGGCCCAGCCCCGCUCCUUCCCCUCGCGUCCUCCACGG